rnacentral:rRNA from 1 species
AAUGAACGUUGGCGACGUGGAUUAGGCAUGCAAGUCGAGCGAGAAUUUGCGAUUGGAAGCUUCGGCCGAAGAAAGUGAAGGAAAGCGGCAAACGGCGUAGUAAGGCGUAGGUACGUACCCUCGGGUCGGGAAUAGCCAUGGGAAACUGUGGGUAAUGCCCGAUAAUCUCUGCGGAGCAAAGGUGUGAUUCCGCCGGAGGAGCGGCUUACGUGAUAUUAGCUAGUUGGUGGGGUAAUGGCCUACCAAGGCAACGAUGUCUAGGGGGUGUGAGAGCAUGGCCCCCACGACCGGAACUGAGACACUGUCCGGACACCUACGGGUGGCUGCAGUCGAGAAUCUUCCGCAAUGGGCGAAAGCCUGACGGAGCGACGCCGCGUGGUGGAUGAAGGCCCUUGGGUUGUAAACACCUGUCAGAGGGGAUGAAAUCAUGGUUGGCAAUCCUUCCAUGUUGACAGAGCCUCAGAGGAAGCACGGGCUAAGUACGUGCCAGCAGCCG